rnacentral:rRNA from 1 species
UACGUAGGGGGCAAGCGUUGUCCGGAAUUAUUGGGCGUAAAGGGCGUGCAGGCGGUUUCUUAAGUCUGAUGUGAAAUCUUGUGGCUUAACCACAAGCGGUCAUUGGAAACUGGGAGACUUGAGUGCAGAAGAGGAGAGUGGAAUUCCACGUGUAGCGGUGAAAUGCGUAGAUAUGUGGAGGAACACCAGUGGCGAAGGCGACUCUCUGGUCUGUAACUGACGCUGAGGCGCGAAAGCGUGGGGAGCGAACA